rnacentral:lncRNA from 1 species
GAAAUUUUUCCUUCAAAUGGUUCAAGUACUGAGGCUCAAACCUGUAUUGGUCACAUGUUCUAGGAUCUUCCUACAUCAACAACACAAAUGCAAGUCAACCCUAUGGUUCCAACACGGUUGAUUCCAUGAUGUUAGGGUUGCAAUCUUACUUUAAUGUUGUUGGGGGCACUUGUAAAAGAUGUAGCCCCCAUUGCUCUUGAACCAAAUCACCCUGAUUCCGCACUUAUGGCAGUUAACGAGGGGGAGUGGCACGAACUGGUAGCGGCUUGGUACCGACGAUGGGCAGCUGCUCAACAUGACCUUCACUUGCUUGUUCUCGAUAAAUGUCGAGGAGCUAGAGGAUGAUGAGAAGGUCGACAGCUUGCCUUGCCUCCCUUGUCCUCCUCUGCGGCGGCAGAAAUUGUGGCAGCAUGGCUACAGCGGCAGCGGUGGAAGCUUAGCGGUGUGGCAGCGUCGUGCCCGCGCGAAGGAGGCACUGCAGGAGGAGG